GCUGCCUGGAUGAGGACUUAGGCAGGCCUCUGAUCUCUGAAUCCAGCUUAGCCUUAGACACUCGGGCCCUAGUACCUAAAAGAGGCCUGUUUGUCCUGGGUGCUGUCCUUUCCCACAGGCUCCUGCUUGAUGUCUAAGUCUCCUGUGCACAAUAGGCCUGGCGUGUUCUGACAGCCCAUAUCUACAGAUGUAGACCAGAGGCUUGGGAAAAAGGAGCAGGAAAGUGUCCUGGAUUUCUGGAGGUCUGCUUUAAGGCUCGUCAGUUCUGCAUGAAAGGAAAAGCCGAGGAGGAGACUGUCUCAAAUCUCUGGAGGACCCCUGAAGUCUGCUGUGGGGCUUAACAUCACUUGAACACAGACAGGAGGAAGAAAUUGCAGCGCAUCAGUGAAGAUCCACGUGCAGUGUCAGGUCCUGUGGUAUUGGAGUUGCUGCUAAAUAACCACUCUCAUCUGGUCUGCACCCACCCAGGAACCAUCCAUCCUUCCCCAGCCUGGUUGUGCUUCUUCUGCACUUUAUCUGUAUUAUUGACUGAGACUGUGCUUGGGGUGAAGCAUCAUUGAUUGCUGGAUUGGUGAUUUACUCUAAUGCUUUAUUUCCUACUUUAUCUCCUGGAUCAUCGAAAGAUCAAAGUGUGAAGAUACUAAUCUGUGCCAUAGCUUUUGUUGAGGAAGAAACUGUGGUAGGCGUACUUAAUUGA
rnacentral:lncRNA from 1 species